GCUCAGCCAUAAACCCAGAUAUUUAACACACAAAAAUAUCCGCCAGAGAACUACGAGCAAAACGCUUAAAACUCUAAGGACUUGGCGGUACCUUAAACCCCCCUAGAGGAGCCUGUUCUAUAAUCGAUAAUCCACGAUCUACCUCACCAUCCCUUGCCAAUACCGCCUAUAUACCGCCGUCACCAGCCUACCCUAUGAAGGACAUAAAAGUAGGCAAAAUAGCACAACAGCUAACAAGUCAGGUCAAGGUGUAGCUUACUGGGAUGGAAGAAAUGGGCUACAUUUUCUAAACUAGAAAUUAUUUACGGAAAGAACUAUGAAACAAGUUCUAUAAGUAGGAUUUAGCAGUAAAUAGGGAUUAGAAUACCCAAUUUAAGCCGGUCCUAAGGUACGC
rnacentral:rRNA from 1 species